AAGUCGUAACAAGGUUUCCGUAGGUGAACCUGCAGAAGGAUCAUCAACAUAAUAUAAAAAAACAACAAUAACCAUUUGUAAAAAAAUCUAAAUUUAAAUAAUAUAUAUAUAAAAACUUUUAACAAUGGAUCUCUUGGCUCUU
rnacentral:misc_RNA from 1 species